UGCGGCUGGAUCACCUCCUUUCUAAGGAAGCUGUGGAAUUGGAAGACGAUCGGUUCGCCGAUAUGACCUUUCCCGUGCUUUUUAGAACAUAGAUGGCGCCAGUCAGGUGACCAUCGAAACGCAAUACGCCGCAGAGGUGCUUGCACCCUGACGGUAUGGCGAGACCCGCCGUCCACGUUUCUCUUUCUCACAAGGAUACGAACCACGCCCGCUCACUUUGCGUCGAGCGACGUUUAGGUGGUGCGUGCUUGACCCAGAAUGGGCCCGUAGCUCAGGUGGUUAGAGCGCACGCCUGAUAAGCGUGAGGUCGGCAGUUCGAGUCUGCCCGGGCCCACCAUUUUGGUAGCUUGGCAGAUGAUCGAAAGGUUGGGGCUGUAGCUCAGCUGGGAGAGCACCUGCUUUGCAAGCAGGGGGUCAGCGGUUCGAUCCCGCUCAGCUCCACCAUUUUGUUUGGUGGACGACCGGCGACGGCCUUUGGCCUUCACGAAGCCUUCGGCUUCGUUCGAGUGCCAUGCUUGAGGGUAUCCUUGGAGAAAAUAAGGUUUGCAUCGUCUCUGCUGAGAUGGAUGCCUGUUCUGCUAAAAUUGUGAAGAGAAGAUAUGUCUGGAAGCUUCCAGGUGUUGACGGCGGUCGUCGAAAGACGGUCGGUGUCGGCGUCCGAGCCCAGUCCUUUUGAAGCCAUCGAUGGUCUAGCCGACCGGAGAUGGAAGAGGGGCUGGAGGUAGGAGGGAAGUCUUGUCGUUCAGGGCAUGGAUGUUGUUGGGGUGUCCUUCGGGAUGCCCUUCUGGUGUUCAUGGCCGAUUGGUGUUGCCUGACCGCGCAUCACCGGACAGAUCUCGAGAAGCUGGUCUUAAGAUUUGGCGCAAGCGAACCGCUCGGCGUGGUUCCAAUAAAGCGACCAAAUCGAACACGUCGAUGGCAUCUGAUUGGCUCGGUUGUAAAAGGUAACCGGGUUUUUGGACUGGCGGUGCGGCAUACGAAAGUUGCCCGCAUGGCCAGAUUUGGCACCCCUUCGAGCGCGAGCGAGAAGGAAAGGUUUGCCAAAUCCAAAUAAGGAUGAGCAUUGGCAAUGAGAACGAUCAAGUGUCAAAAGGGCAUUUGGUGGAUGCCUUGGCAUGCACAGGCGAUGAAGGACGUGAUACGCUGCGAUAAGCCGUGGGGAGCUGCGAAUGAGCUUUGAUCCAUGGAUCUCCGAAUGGGGCAACCCACCUUAGAUGCUUGGAAAAUCAUUUUGGUUGGCUGUUGGUUGAACGAAGCGAAGCUUCGCAAGGCCAGAGGCCGUCGCCGGUUAUCCGGCGUCAAGAAACCAAAGUGGUUUCCAAGCAUUGUUGAAAGGUAUCUUAUCCUGAAUUCAAUAGGGAUAAGAAGCGAACGCAGGGAACUGAAACAUCUAAGUACCUGCAGGAAAGGACAUCAACCGAGACUCCGCAAGUAGUGGCGAGCGAACGCGGACCAGGCCAGUGGCAAUGAGGAAUAAAGUGGAACGACUUGGAAAGGUCGGCCGUAGCGGGUGAUAGCCCCGUACACGUAGAACACUCAUUGUCCUUGAGUAAGGCGGGACACGUGAAAUCCUGUCUGAACAUGGGGAGACCACUCUCCAAGCCUAAGUACUCGUGCAUGACCGAUAGCGAACAAGUACCGUGAGGGAAAGGUGAAAAGCACCCCGACAAGGGGAGUGAAAUAGAACCUGAAACCGGAUGCCUACAAACAGUCGGAGCCCGCAAGGGUGACGGCGUACCUUUUGUAUAAUGGGUCAACGACUUAGUGUGACAUGCAAGCUUAAGCCGGUAGGUGGAGGCGUAGCGAAAGCGAGUCUGAACAGGGCGCCUGAGUAUGUCGCAUUAGACCCGAAACCGAGUGAUCUAGCCAUGAGCAGGUUGAAGGUUGGGUAACACCAACUGGAGGACCGAACCCGCAUCUGUUGCAAUAGAUUGGGAUGACUUGUGGCUAGGGGUGAAAGGCCAAUCAAACUCGGAAAUAGCUGGUUCUCCGCGAAAUCUAUUUAGGUAGAGCGUCGACCGAAUACCCCCGGGGGUAGAGCACUGGAUGGGCUAUGGGGACUCACCGUCUUACUGAUCCUAACCAAACUCCGAAUACCGGGGAGUACUAGUCGGCAGACACACGGCGGGUGCUAACGUCCGUCGUGAAAAGGGCAACAACCCUGACCUCCAGCUAAGGUCCCCAAGUCAUGGCUAAGUGGGAAAGGAUGUGAGGAUCCCAAAACAACCAGGAUGUUGGCUUAGAAGCAGCC
rnacentral:tRNA from 1 species